GAGAAUCUCUGGCCAAGGAACGCUUUUCAAGGCUCUCCCUGUGCGGUGAGAAGCUAACUCAGAACUGGAGCGGGCAAGGGGAAUCCGACUGUUUAAUUAAAACAAAGCAUUGUGAUUGCCUUAGAAGGUGCUGAUGCAAUGUGAUUUCUGCCCAGUGCUCUGAAUGUUAAAGUGAUGAAAUUCAAACAAGCGCGGGUAAACGGCGGGAGUCACUAUGACUCUCUUAAGGUAGCCAAAUGCCUCGUCAUCUAAUUAGUGACGCGCAUGAAUGGAUUAAUGAGAUUCCCACUGUCCCUAUCUACUAUCUAGCGAAACCACAGCCAAGGGAACGGGCUUGGAAUAGUCAGCGGGGAAAGAAGACCCUGUUGAGCUUGACUCUAAUCUGACUUUGUGAAGUGACUUAGGAGGCGUAGCAUAAGUGGGAGCUUGUGGCGAUCUUGAAAUACCACUACUCCUAAUGCCAUUUUACUUAUUCUGGUUGCACUGAAGCCUGCAUGGUUGUGGGGUUUUCGAUUUAAAUUUCCCCUGGUGGAAGACUGAUCUGUGCGGACGACAUAGUCAGGUGGGGAGUUUGGCUGGGGCGGCACA
rnacentral:rRNA from 1 species